rnacentral:lncRNA from 1 species
AUGUCUAGAUUUAGAAAGAAGGCUAUUGGUCCCACGCCACGACCUCCACAAGGACGGAAGUUAUUGGAUCAUGUGUGGGAGAUUGUUGGGGAACACCUACACCCUCUCAACAAAAUCGGUUACUCACUUGACUGUAUGGUGGCUAGGGAUCUGGGUUACACCCCGUGGUCCGGGUUGAUGAGCGAUGACAUCGAUGCGUUAGGGAAAGAGAUGGAAUCCCAAAUUACCGGAUAUCUGAUUGAUGAAAUAUUGAUCGAUUUG